rnacentral:lncRNA from 15 species
GACGGACAGGCAAGACAGCAGAGGCACUCCGAGAGAUCUUCAGGAUUUAUGACCGCCAUGAACAACAUGAUGUAAACAUGAGACGCAGUCUGGCCCUUCGUGCCCUUCCGGUGUACCUAAGAGAGGAUGACUCUGAGUUCUUCGAGACCUGGAAUAGAGAAGAUGAGCCAGAUGUUGCUGACACUCCUGUGGGUCUCCUUACUGUGGUCACUGACAACACAACUCAUUGCAGCCCCAAGAGCAUUUCUGUGGACAUCGAAGAUGAAAUUGUUGUGAGUGAUCUCCCUAGGUUGACUGAUGUUAAGUUUUUAGAUAACUGUUCAGGAAUCAGUGUUCUUAACUCCUGCUUUUAAAAUAAAUCAGACUGUGUCAUUUUGUUUUAUUUUCUCAUCUUAAUGGCAUUGCUAGAGAUUUGGGCUACAAAUAUUAGUUGUAGCCCAAAUCUCUAGCAAUGCCAACCAAUGCUAACCCUAUUGCCCAGCCCAAGUUUUUGUACUGAAUAACUUGUGGGAAACGACUGUUCAAUUCAUGCACUAUACAUGUUUAAUGUUCUGUUGCCUAAUGCCUACCUUGAUGCACUACCUUGAUGUUGCCAGUUGAAGUACGGCACAGUAGAAACCAGUACUUUAUUUAAAUGUUUUAUUUUAAAAAAGUGAGUUGCAGCCUUCAAGGUACAGUAAGUGCCAAAAUGUUUUUAAACAGUGUUAAAUGGCUCCACAUUCUAAUAGUUGUCAUUGCUGUUGAGGAUGGACAAGCACUUUGUUUUGACUGAGCUCCUGAUUAAUUUCAUUUAAUUCAACAUUGCUUCCUUUUCAAAACUAAAUAUUUUAAUGUUGUUGUAUAAAACACUAUUAACUGACGUAAAAUACUUAAGUAUAUACAUGAUGGCAUUAUUAUUAUUCUAUGUACUCCUGACAGCAGGAUAAGGUACUAUAACGAAAUACUGUGACAUACUGUGAAAACGCCAGAAUCGUAAAAAUGUUUGGUCAUACCACCCAGCACGAGCAGACAGUCCAGUUGUGGCAAUAAAAUGACAAAUUGUACGUCACUCAGACCCUCACAUAAAUGGCAACCAUGAAUUAACUUUAAGCCCAAUACAUGAUUCUCCUGUGAGAAACAAUGGCUGUUCAUCAUGCACAUGGUGUCCAUGGGGUCAGCCAUACAAACUAUGAUUCACAUGUCUACAUGACUGUGCAGUGCUGCUGUUUAACACCCUGCUGCUGUCUCUAUGAGAUGAUGACUCAACGACUGGUCUCGAUGUGUCCCAGAGUGCUGCUCCUGUCUCCUGCUGCUCACAGUGAUUGGACAUCUUGCAGCACACAAGAUACUGUUAAACAAACAAGCAGUUACNNNNNNNNNNNNNNNNNNNNAGAGAUUUAGAAGAAAUCUCUAGCAAUGCCAACCAAUGCUAACACUAUUGAUCAGCCCAGGUUUUUGUACUGAAUAUCUUGUGGGAAACGACUGUUCAAUUCAUGCACUAUACAUGUUUAAUGUUCUGUUGCCUAAUGCCUACCUUGAUGCACUACCUUGAUGUUGCCAGUUGAAGUAUGGCACAGUAGAAACCAGUACUUUAUUUGAAUGUUUUAUUUUAAAAAAGUGAGUUGCAGCCUUCAAGGUACAGUAAGUGCCAAAACGUUUUUUAAACAGUGUUAAAUGGCUCCACAUUCUAAUAGUUGUCAUUGCUGUUGAGGAUGGAUUAUACUUAGAAUCUUAUUGAAUUUGAUCAUGAAUCCUUUGUGAGUUUUUAUCAUAAUGUUUACUGAAUAAUGUGAGAUGGAGACCCAAAAUACUGAAUCUACCCUCUGUAGCAAUGACCACUAUCAGAAUAUGGAACUAUUAAGACUUAAUGUACUUUAAAACACAUUUUGUUUUUCUGAGUCAUUUCCUUUUCCUUUUGUUUUAAUUUAUGACAAGCACUUUGUUUUCACUGAGCUCUUUUGCUUCGUGCCUUUUAAAAAGCACAUUGUGUUGAAUAAAAAAAGUUGUUAAAUUGUCACUGUGGUGUCUCUUUCAUGUUUUCUAACAUUAUGAGCUGAUUAUAAUUGUGUAGUGGGCCGACAUCAGUAUUUCAGUUUAGAAUUAAUUUUGAGUGCAUGUCCCACAUUAUGAGUUGAAGAAUAUUGAAAAUUUUGAGUGUAUUACUCCCUAAUUAUAAGUUGAGGAAUAUCAAUAUUUAUAAGAUAACACUGAGAUAAUUUAAGGCAACUGUAAAUCUAAUUUUUAUUGUAUGUAAACUUAAAAGGGUUAACAGUGCAGUUGGUUUGUGGACAGUCAUGGCUAAGACAAAGGAGUUCACUGAGGACCUGCCGCUGUGCAUUGUGGCUGCUCACAAGUCAGGAAAGGACUAUAAGGCCAUAUCUAAAUGUUUUCAAGUUCCAGUGGCUACAGUGCAAAGUAUCAUUAAAAAAUAGAGGAAUAUAAAGUAUAUAGGAGAAGCCUUCAACCCUAGGAACACCAUCCCCACUGUCAAACAUGGUGGUGGGAACCUAAUGCUUUGGGGGUGUUUUUCAGCCAAUGGACCAGGAAACCUAAUCACAGUAAACGGCACCAUGAAAAAAGAGCAAUACAUCAAGAUUGUCAACAACAACAUCAUCAGGCAGUCUGCAGAGAAACUUGGCCUUGGGGACCAGUGGAGAUUUCAGCACGACAACAACGUUUUGCAGUGGCCCAGCCAGAGUCCUGACUUGAGAAUCUGUGGAGGGAGCUAAAGAUCAGGGUGAUGGCAGGGAGACCCUCCAACCUGAAAGAGUUGGAGCCCAUCUCUAAAGAUGAAUGGGCAAAAAUACCAGUGGAGACUGAAGCUGGUCAGCAACUAUAGGAAGCGUUUGAUUGCUGUAAUAGCCAAUAAAGGCUUUUCUAUUGAUUAUUGAGAAGGUAUGAAUCAUUUUGGAUGUGCCACUUUUUGUUGAAAUGUAAAUAAAAGCUGAGAAAUAAUGUUUUCCAUAAUGAUGCCUCUUGUACAUCGUCUUAUUAUCUUCUGGGAGACGCCUGUGUCAUUUCCAAUCAAGAAAAAACAUGCUGGUUGAAUAAAAGUAACUUUAAGUCAAAAUUUGCCAGGGCUAUGAAUAAUUUCAGGCUUGACUGUAGAUAUAUUUUUAUAUCCCCAGGAGGAGUGCCAGGUUUUUCAAAUAGUGGCUGAAGUGAUGGUUGUAAUUCAGAUAAAAAUAAUGAGACCCAUCUGCUGUAAAGGUAAGUCUGAUUAUUUGUAUUAUAGAGUUCACCUGUAUUUAUAGAUCAUUGUUUUACAGUGUAAAUAUCUUUAAUUAAACAUUAAAAAGACAAAAAAUGAUGAUGAUGUCAAAUUAAAGCUAAAAACUGUAUUUAAUUACAGAAAAUUACUGUAUUUUUACGAGUUAUUGUACUGUGUUUCUUUGGCAGCUGCUGGAAUAUUAACUUUUUUACAGUGAAGGCUAGCGUUGCUAGGCAACUAAGGUAUCGCAGGUGAUGGAUACGCACAACUCCGACAGCCCUGGAAGGACUCGUGGCGUUCCCGGUCGCUCAGCCGUCCACAGAGAGGAAGGUUUGUUUCCUCCUUCAGGUUCAAUUAAACAACCGCUUUUAUUCUGAAGGUCUCAUCUGAACUUCCUCCUCCACAUGGUAUCUUAUGUUCCACACACUUACAGUACGGAGGGUUCCUGUCUCUGUGUGCACUGAAGGUUUCAUGUUACUGAUGUGAAAUGAGUCUGACUGAUGGAACUCUUCCA